AAAAAAGCCGGAAUAGCUCAGUUGGUAGAGCAGAGGACUGAAAAUCCUCGUGUCACC
rnacentral:tRNA from 2 species